CUCAAUAUGCCAUAUGUAUUUAGGCAUUUUAUGUGGAGAAAAUUAACAUGGUCUGAAAUAUGAGUCCCAGUCUACAGCAAUACCACCUUCAGUGCACCUGAUCUCGUCUGAAAUAUGAGCCCCAUAUCAAUUAUGUUACGGUCAAUUUUAGGUUAUGAAAUCUAAUGUUGGUUCAACCUCUGAAACUUAUCACAUUUUCUAAGCCCUGGAAAAAUAAAUGAGCCAGAACUUUUAUCUAUUUAUGCUCAUCCACUGGUAAGAUCAUAUUACCAAUUCAGAAACAAAUUACCAAACACCUUGGGAAAUCAUUAUUUAUGGAGCUAAAUUCAAAAAUCAGAGUUCACAAUGCAUUUUGAUGUACCACGGUAAAAAGGAAUCAAUAUUGGUCCUCUAGAAAUCACUGGUUCUUUCAAAUUAUAUCUUCACUUUUUAAGCAUCUGACAUUUACAAUAAGCAUCUGGUUCCCUCUGUCCAAUUCCAUGACACAAAAAAACAACUCUACAAAAUCUAAGGAUUGAUUUGUUACUAAGCUACUUCUUAUAGAGAUAACUUUAUUAAUAUGCACCCUAGAUAGUAUAACAAGCAGUGUGAUAUUUUAAAUUCUCUGCAGAAAGUGUUUAUUAAUAGGAAAAUGCACUUAAAUAACAUAGCUUUCCAAAUAACAGAGUAACAUAUAUAAUUUAAAAUUAACGAUUCCCACCUAUUAAAGUGGUUAAGUCAUAAGAACAAUGCUGAAUAAAAUAAGUUACAGAUGGAUGGAUGGAGAAGGUUACAUAUAUGUGUGUGUGCAUAUAUAUAUAUAUAUAUAUAUAUAUAUAUACGUGCACACACACAUAUAUAUAUUACUGUGAUUAUAAAAUUUUAAAAUAUGCAAUACAAUUUAUUAUUUAUGGAUUCAUACAUAUGUGGUUUAAAAGUUUAAAAUGUGCGAAUGAAUAAUGCACAUCAAAUACAGUAUAGUGCCUGUUAGCUCUAAGCAUAUAUAAUUGGGAAUAGGAUUAAAGAGUCAUACACAAAAAGCAUUAACUGCACCUGCAAUGUUUGAUUUAUUAAAAUAAAUUUUUUGAUGAAGCAAAUAUGGGAUAUAUGAUUUGCUAUAUAUUCUCUCCUUUCUUCUGUUUGAAAUAUUUUGUGAUUAAAAAGAAAAUAAGCUUCAUUUCAAUUUUGAAAGCCAGGCCUGCUCUCUAACAAUUAUUGUAAGUGUAGAAAAUAUUAAAAAUCCA
rnacentral:lncRNA from 1 species